UAACACAAGCUGAAGAGAUUUUAACGUUUUGUCCUACGACAUAAAAUACAGCAAUAAAUACCCCACUCAUGAAUUUUGAAGCCUUUGUGUCUUCAAAAAGGCGGUGGCUAAGUGAGACUACCAAAUGCCAUCACGCCAAACACUAGUCUGCCUUUAUUUUAGCGGUGGUGACGUGAAGUCAUGCAACCGUGGUGUAGUUCGUUUAAUAUAAUGUGAGCUUUUUACUUCUGUCGUUUGCAUUUACGCCUCAAAAAUCAUAAGAGUGGUGUUCAUUCGUGGAGAUUAUCUUGCUGAAAAAAACGUU